AUUGAACGCUGGCGGCAUGCUUUACACAUGCAAGUCGAACGGUAACAGGCCGCAAGGUGCUGACGAGUGGCGAACGGGUGAGUAAUGCAUCGGAACGUGCCCAGUCGUGGGGGAUAACGCAGCGAAAGCUGUGCUAAUACCGCAUACGAUCUGUGGAUGAAAGCGGGGGACCGAAAGGCCUCGCGCGAUUGGAGCGGCCGAUGUCAGAUUAGGUAGUUGGUGGGGUAAAGGCUCACCAAGCCAACGAUCUGUAGCUGGUCUGAGAGGACGACCAGCCACACUGGGACUGGGACGCGGCCCAGACGCCUACGGGAGGCAGCAGAGGGGAAUUUUGGACAAUGGGCGCAAGCCUGAUCCAGCAAUGCCGCGUGCAGGAAGAAGGCCUUCGGGUUGUAAACUGCUUUUGUACGGAGCGAAAAGGCUCUCUCUAAUACAGGGGGCUCAUGACGGUACCGUAAGAAUAAGCACCGGCUAACUACGUGCCAGCAGCCGCCGUAACAC
rnacentral:rRNA from 1 species